UACGGGGGGAGCAAGCGUUGUUCGGAUUUACUGGGCGUAAAGGGCGCGUAGGCGGCGCAACAAGUCACUUGUGAAAUCUCCGGGCUUAACUCGGAAAGGUCAGCCGAUACUGCGGGGCUAGAGUGCAGAAGGGGCAACUGGAAUUCUCGGUGUAGCGGUGAAAUGCGUAGAUAUCGAGAGGAACACCUGCGGCGAAGGCGGGUUGCUGGGCUGACACUGACGCUGAUUGUGCGAAAGCUAGGGGAGCGAACGGG
rnacentral:rRNA from 1 species